CUGCUGCCUUCCGUAGGAGUCUGGUCCGUGUCUCAGUACCAGUGUGGGGGCCUUCCUCUCAGAACCCCUACGCAUCGUCGCCUCGGUGGGCCGUUACCCCGCCGACUAGCUAAUGCGCCGCAUGCCCAUCCGUGGCCGGGAUUGCUCCCUUUGGCGGCCUUGGGAUGUCCCUAGGCCGCGUUACGCGGUAUUAGACGGGGUUUCCCCCGCUUAUCCCCCCUGCCACGGGCAGGUUGCAUACGUGUUACUCACCCGUGCGCCGGUCGCCGGCAACGG
rnacentral:rRNA from 1 species